AUGGCCAAUCUCAUCAACCGUUUCUACUGUCUUUCCGGGAAGACUCCAAACGGGGACAAGUCUUUUAUUUUGUUUAGCGCCAAUGUUUCCCAGCCUUUAGCUCAACAAAUCACUCAUAUAUUCCCUGUUCCUCUUGUUGAUGGUACAUCUACUCAUCUUGGCCACCCGUUAAUCCUCCCUGCUAAGGAUCGUGCUUCCACUUAUAACUUUGUUUUUGACAAAUUUAAGAAUAAGCUUCCGACUUAUAAGGCAGAUAAACUAUCCCAUGCCGCCAGACUUGAGCUCAUCAAUUCUGUGUUUGCUUCCAUCCCUGUCUACUAUAUGUCCAACAUACUUUUUUCUAAAAAAAUCCUUGCGAAGCUCACCGCUGUCAUCCGUAAUUUUUGGUGGGUAGGAGUCAAAGAGGAGGCUGGUUCAAAAGCUUUAUGCCUAAGGGCCUGGAAAGACAUUUGUACACCUAAAAAGGAGGGGGGACUGGGUAUCAAAAACAUGCUUGCAAUGAAUCAGGGGUUGCUGCUUGCGGCUGCUUGGAGAUUGGCUGAUAACCCUGAUAGUCACAUCUAUCAAGUUCUCCGUGCUAAAUAUUUUCCAGGUUCUUCCAUUUGGAGAGCGAAUUCCAAUACCCCAAAAUCUGCUUUUUGGGCGUUUGUUCUCAAAGUCAUGCCUAUGCUCAAAGCCCACUCCUUUUAUAAAAUUUCCCAAGGGAAUGUUUCUGUUUGGAGUUCCCCCUGGUGCUCUACCUGGCACAAUUUGUAUGAUCAUCUUAUCAUUCAGCAAAGUAGCAAUUUUAUCUAUCCGGCUAAGGUUUCUGAUCUUUGGUUGCCUUGUAUGAUCAUCUUAUCAUUCAGCAAAGUAGCAAUUUUAUCUAUCCGGCUAAGGUUUCUGAUCUUUGGUUGCCUGGGAGAAAAGUGUGGAAUACUCAGCUCGUCUCUAACCUUUUUAUGGAGCCCUCUUCUUCGGCUAUUAUCGCUACUCCUAUUCUUCUUGAUGAUUGCAGAGACAUUCUUUGUUGGGACUUAA
rnacentral:rRNA from 1 species